GGACGUCCCCUUCGGGGGCAGAGUGACAGGUGGUGCAUGGUUGUCGUCAGCUCGUGUCGUGAGAUGUUGGGUUAAGUCCCGCAACGAGCGCAACCCUUGAUCUUAGUUGCCAGCAUUCAGUUGGGCACUCUAAGGUGACUGCCGGUGACAAACCGGAGGAAGGUGGGGAUGACGUCAAAUCAUCAUGCCCCUUAUGACCUGGGCUACACACGUGCUACAAUGGACAGAACAAAGGGCAGCGAAACCGCGAGGUUAAGCCAAUCCCACAAAUCUGUUCUCAGUUCGGAUCGCAGUCUGCAACUCGACUGCGUGAAGCUGGAAUCGCUAGUAAUCGCGGAUCAGCAUGCCGCGGUGAAUACGUUCCCGGGUCUUGUACACACC
rnacentral:rRNA from 1 species